rnacentral:misc_RNA from 1 species
GUGAAUCAUCAAAUCUUUGAACGCAAAUUGCACUUUCUGUAAUUCCGGAAAGUAUGCCUGUUUGAGGUUCAGUUAAAUAAAAAUCGGUUUUGUUGCUGCCUUUCGUGGUAACGCGUCGGAUUUGAGUCUUCUUCCCUUCGGUUAAGCUUCUUAAAAUUUUUCCAUGAUUUUCGAACGUAUUUAAAUCGUUUACGAACUUUGUAGAUAUC